GGUCCAGUGUUGCAGAGUCUAUGCUGGCACCCAGAUAGGGAGUGGAUGAGCCUCCGUGUUAAAGAUGUAUUUGUCAAGGUUGAUUAAGUCUAUGUCAUCUGAAAACAGCAGAAACAUGUAUUUGAGUGUUUCUCCAAGGAAGAAGCUCUCCAUCUUAUCCCGUGGCUCUGGAUUACUGGGAUUCUGGACAUUGUUAAUGGAAGUAUAACCACCUGUAGGAACCUGUGCCAAAAAAACAAAACAAAACAAAACAAAACAGAAAUUUGUAUCUUUACAUAAUCUAAAAUAAAUUAUUUUUUACUUCCUAACAUCCAGAUGCACUUGGAGAAGAUAAGUGCUAGGAAACAGAUCAACAUGUUUUUAAUUUUGUACUUGGUUUUCCUUUACUUACAAAGCUUCAGUUAUGAAAAACACCAACUCAUUGCAUUUUAAAAGAAACCACAAAGAUAAAAUGAAGCAUCUAUACUUAAGUUAAAGAGGUAUCACAAGGAACAUCCCCUUCAAGUUUCUGGACAAACAUACAGAAAGGAACUAGCGAUUUCUAGGUUAAAGCUGGCCCAAGCCCCAUACCCAUUUCUUCUAAGAACAGACCAUGGACAUUUGAUGACCACUGGCAUCUAGGCCACACUUUCACAGCAUAUCAGUGAUAUCUCAACCAGCACUGUAGUCAGAAUGAAUACAAAACCCCUCUACCAAACCAUUAGUGCCAUUUUGUGCCCAUUUUUUUCUUUGGCAACUUUAAUCAGAGCAUUCAUUCAAUCCAGCCAGGUCCUUCUCAACUUCUGAAUUCUAAAAGCAACCACAGCAGAGAUUCAAACAGCUUCCAAGAUGUAGAGACACUCUGGCAGUCUUGCCUACAGCUUCUACAUUCCACUUUUUAAUCAAUGCAAUGCAAGUUCUUUCCCUAUAUGGACUAAGUAGUGUAUCUCAAACUGUAAGAAACCAAAUUUUUCUGUAUAUUCUUACAAAUUUCCCCAAAUGUCUCUGAUGAAUCUUGAAACACAGUAAGAUUCCAAAGUUGGUGUUAGAAAGCAAGUGAGCAGAUAAAGUCCUGACAGAACAAGGUCACUUGGCCUUACCCGUGUGUAUUUAUUGAAGUUCUGCAAGAUUUCCCAGCCCCAGUCUUGAUAUUUCUUAUCACCAGUGAAUCUGUACAUAUAAAAAAGGCUUUCCACAGUUUCUGGUCGCAGUAAGUUGUGCCUGUCUGCGGGCUGCAAGAGAAAAAAAAGGCAAGAGUACUUCAGACAGGGAAUUUCCUCAAGGACACAUGCAGGGAGAAACAUAAUGAUUCCCAUCUCCAUCUACUUCUAAGAGUUUGCUAUGCAUAACUCAGCUUCUAAAUACACUAUCAGGGUAAUUAAAACCAAAGCCUAGGGUACAGCUAGAAGGCAAGGCAGCAAAGGAACUAACUGCUCCACAACAGACCCCAUCACCAAUAUCUGACCAGGAGUUCAACAGCAGAAUAGAGCUACAGAGGAAUCAUGGAAUUGGAGUUCAGGCCAGCUAUCUGCUCACCUUGAUUUCCACAUCUUUGUGGCCCUUCUGCGCAUGGAGGUUGAAAUGUACGAUCUCCGGGCUCAGGCCUGUCUCUACUUGAGCGUACAUCUGGUAGCAGGUUUCUAUAAGGGCUUCAGCCAACUUCAUAUGAUCAGCAUCCAGUCCAUUGUGGGCUCCUAGUGCCAAAGUACCCGGCAAGAAGCAAACCAAGUGAUCCUGCACGACAAGACAACUCUUACUGCGGAGAAGUUAUGCAUCAAACAGAUUAUCCUAUCCUGAAAUAUGUGCCUCGUCCCAGAGACUAUAAUUCAAAGACUUUCAGAUUCUGAAGGCUAAUGAGCAUGAAGACUGCCAUGGUGGAAUAAGGACACUGAAAGGCUUGCAUGUUCUAGUCUGGACUGGCCCUUCUACAGCCCUGAUGGUACUGUGUCGGGUCUUCAGCCUUGUGUCCCUCUGUGGUGCCUUGAUCUGAAGAUUGGAAGGACCACGACGAACAUGAGGUGGGUUUGGCUGC